UUUUUUUAUGCCCUACAUUCUACCGCAAAUACAUUUGGAUUUGCAUAUUUUGAGUCCUGCUACUACUAAUUUGACUUAUGAUGUCCAUGGUUUAGGAUGAUUGGUCGCAGCUCAUCUUCUAUCAUGAGUUUCUUAUUUGCAGGUGAUGAUCUUGCUGCAACUUGCUUGCUGCCUUGGUUUACAGUGAGCUAGCUGCUGCAGCCCUUUUGUUUCUUUAGAGGACACAGAUGACAGAAACGCCACCAUGGAAUCAGGUUGUUACCUUUUUUCCGACUUGUCUGCGUGUAUCCAUGCAAUUGUUUCUACUCCCUCCGUUUC